GAUGAAGAACGUAGCGAAAUGCGAUAAGUAGUGUGAAUUGCAGAAUUCAGUGAAUCAUCGAAUCUUUGAACGCACAUUGCGCCCCUUGGUAUUCCAUGGGGCAUGCCUGUUCGAGCGUCAUUUGUACCUUCAAGCUUUGCUUGGUGUUGGGUGUUUGUCCUGAGGGACUCGCCUUAAAGUAAUUGGCAGCCAGUGUUUUGGUUUUGAAGCGCAGCACAAGUCGCGAUUCAAAGCUAUACGCCAGCUUCCACAAGCCUUUUUCACUUUUGACCUCGGAUCAGGUAGGGAUACCCGCUGAACUUAAGCAUAUCAAAAGCGGAGGA
rnacentral:misc_RNA from 1 species